rnacentral:rRNA from 1 species
UGCAUAGGGUGCAAGCGUUGUCCGGAAUUAUUGGGCGUAAAGAGCUCGUAGGUCGUUUGUUACGUCGGAUGUGAAAACCUGAGGCUCAACCUCAGGCCUGCAUUCGAUACGGGCAAACUAGAGUUUGGUAGGGGAGACUGGAAUUCCUGGUGUAGCGGUGGAAUGCGCAGAUAUCAGGAGGAACACCAAUGGCGAAGGCAGGUCUCUGGGCCAAUACUGACACUGAGGAGCGAAAGCGUGGGGAGCGAACAGG